AUGGGACAUUUCGGCGUCAAGAAGACAGAAGACAUCCUUGCUGGUCAUUUUUUCUGGCCAAAAAUGAGAAGGGAUGUGGAGAGAUAUGUUUCAUGCUGCAUGACAUGCCAAAAAGCUAAGUCACGAUUGAACCCACAUGGUUUAUAUAUGCCUCUUCUUGUUCCUAGCACUCCUUGGGAAGAUAUAUCUAUGGAUUUUGUAUUAGGACUGCCUAGAACACGGCGGGGGAGGGAUAGUAUAUUUGUUAUUAUCGAUAGAUUCUCUAAGAUGGCACAUUUUAUACCUUGUCAUAAAAGUGACGAUGCUACUCACAUUGCUGAUUUGUUCUUUCGUGAAGUAGUUCGUUUGCAUGGUGUGCCAAAUACAAUUGUUUCUGAUCAUGACACCAAAUUUCUUAGCCACUUUUGGAGGGUGUUGUGGACAAAAUUGGGGACUAAGCUUUUAUUUAGUACUACAUGUCAUCCUCAAACUGAUGGUCAAACUGAAGUGGUUAAUCGUACACUGUCUACUAUGCUUAGGGCUGUUUUGAAGAACUUAAAAAUGUGGGAAGAAUGUCUACCUCAUGUAGAGUUUGCUUAUAAUCGUUCCGUUCAUUCCACCACAAAAUUAUGCCCUUUUGAGAUUGUUUAUGGAUUUAUACCUCGUGCACCAAUUGAUUUAUUACCUAUUCCAUCUUCGGAGAAGGUAAACCUUGAUGCUAAAGAACGUGCUGAAUUAGUAUUAAAAUGCAUGAUAUGA
rnacentral:rRNA from 1 species